rnacentral:rRNA from 1 species
GAUGAACGCUGGCGGCGUGCCUAAUACAUGCAAGUCGAGCGAGAGCGACCGGUGCUUGCUCUUCUGAAUUUAGUGGCGUACGGGUGAGUAACACGUGGGUAACCUGCCCAUCAGACGGGGAUAACAUCUGGAAACGGUUGCUAAAACCGCAUAGUUUUUUGAGCCGCAUGGCUUCAAGUUGAAAGGCGGCGCACGCUUCUGCUAUUGCUUGAACCCGCGGUGCAUUAGCUAGUUGGUGAGGUAACGGCUCACCAAGGCAGCGAUGCAUAGCCGACCUGGGGGGGUGAUCGGCCACAUUGGGACUGAGACACGGCCCAGACUCCUACGGGAGGCAGCAGUAGGGAAUCUUCCGCAAUGGACGAAAGCCUGACGGAGCAACGCCGCGUGAGUGAUGAAGGUCUUCGGAUCGUAAAACUCUGUUGUUAGAGAAGAACAAAUGUGAAAGUAACUGUGCACGACUUGACGGUAUCUAACCAGAAAGCCACGGCUAACUACGUG